CCUCUCUCAGGGUCGCACCUGGAGAGUUUCCAGUACUCUACCAGUCUCGGCUAUGGGAGGGAGAGUCAAGCAGAGGUCUGUUCAUUCCAUUCCUACCUUGUGAAGUGGCUAGCAAGAGGAAGGCAAUCUGCUACAGGU